AGAGUUUGAUCCUGGCUCAGAUUGAACGCUGGCGGCAGGCCUAACACAUGCAAGUCGAGCGGUAGCACAGAGAGCUUGCUCUCGGGUGACGAGCGGCGGACGGGUGAGUAAUGUCUGGGAAACUGCCUGAUGGAGGGGGAUAACUACUGGAAACGGUAGCUAAUACCGCAUAACGUCGCAAGACCAAAGAGGGGGACCUUCGGGCCUCUUGCCAUCAGAUGUGCCCAGAUGGGAUUAGCUAGUAGGUGGGGUAAUGGCUCACCUAGGCGACGAUCCCUAGCUGGUCUGAGAGGAUGACCAGCCACACUGGAACUGAGACACGGUCCAGACUCCUACGGGAGGCAGCAGUGGGGAAUAUUGCACAAUGGGCGCAAGCCUGAUGCAGCCAUGCCGCGUGUAUGAAGAAGGCCUUCGGGUUGUAAAGUACUUUCAGCGAGGAGGAAGGCAUUGUGGUUAAUAACCACAGUGAUUGACGUUACUCGCAGAAGAAGCACCGGCUAACUCCGUGCCAGCAGCCGCGGUAAUACGGAGGGCGCAAGCGUUAAUCGGAAUUACUGGGCGUAAAGCGCACGCAGGCGGUCUGUCAAGUCGGAUGUGAAGUCCCCGGGCUCAACCUGGGAACUGCAUUCGAAACUGGCAGGCUAGAGUCUUGUAGAGGGGGGUAGAAUUCCAGGUGUAGCGGUGAAAUGCGUAGAGAUCUGGAGGAAUACCGGUGGCGAAGGCGGCCCCCUGGACAAAGACUGACGCUCAGGUGCGAAAGCGUGGGGAGCAAACAGAAGUAGAUACCCUGGUAGUCCACGCCGUAAAC
rnacentral:rRNA from 1 species